ACAGAGGAUGCAAGCGUUAUCCGGAAUAAUUGGGCGUAAAGAGUCUGUAGGUUGUUUAAAAAGUAUUUUGUUAAAGAUUAGGGCUUAACUCUAGGAAUGCGGAAUAAACUUUUAGACUAGAGUAUGGUAGAGGCAAAGGGAAUUUCCGGUGAAGCGGUGAAAUGCGUAGAUAUCGGGAGGAACACCAAAGGCGAAAGCACUCUGCUGGGCCAUUACUGACUCUGAGAGACGAAAGCGAGGGGAGCAAAUGG
rnacentral:rRNA from 1 species